AGCUGUUGUACAACAAGAAUUUGGCCGUCUUUGUCUCCGGUUCAGGCUCCACCCCUCAGACCACACCUGAGUUUAUGCUAAUGAGGCGCUGGAAACUCAGCUGCGCAUCUGGAUCGGCCGCUCACGUUGCUGUGCUGACGGGCAGAGGGCGCACCCAAGGGCCCUCCCGGACCUCACCUGUAGUCCGCGGGACCUGCUCUCCUGAGUUCUCUCCCACCCUGGGCCCAGGAGUCACCGGCGCCCUUGGGCGAUUCCUACGGGGUCAAGUGUGAGCAGCUCGGCCCCAGAGGGAGCAGCAGCAGGGCAUCUCGAGGGCUGCACGGCCCGACCUCAGACAGACACUGCGCACGGCCAGGUGCGGGGCAUGCGGGCGUCGGGCUGGGGGAUCCGCUCUCCAAAGGCAGGUCUGUCCUCGGACUCGUGUUCACAGGCCUCUCUGAUCUGCUCCAGGGGGCAAAAAUGAGACUUCGUAAAUAGAAACGGAUUUAAGUAAAUCAACGGUAAGCACUUUGGGGUCAAAACAGCCUCUUCACACCCCAGGGACCCAGACUUCUAUCCUCACCAGGUCCUCCCCACACAGCCUUUUAUUGGUUUGUCAUCACCCCUGCUGACAAUGAGUGAUCUUCCUGGGAGUAUCCCAAGAACUGUGGUGGCUGCCAGGUGCUUUGGCAUAGAAUUCCUCUCUGAGUCAGACAGAGCCCGAGGCCGUUAG